rnacentral:lncRNA from 1 species
UUUCUCUUUUUUUUUUUUGAUAGGGAGUGACUCCAAAUUAAUUAAGAAGUCAAAGUUGCUAAUCAAGUACAUGUGCAAAGGUGAAAACUCAAAUUUCGUGGAACAAGACAUGGGUUCGAAUCCCAAUAGCCUCCUAUUGGGGUUAUAUUUACUCGUAGCAUCAUUCGUGCGUAGUGGGACCUCAGCUUAGGCCCUGACAUAGGUGCAGUGGAUUUUUCUAUAGAUAUUAGUAUGGUGUGAUAGGGCAAUGCUUCCUGGUAGAGGUGACGGAAUACCAUGCCUACACUUCCAUGUUUAUAGGGAAAAAAAGGCCUCAUGCAAC